rnacentral:tRNA from 1 species
UGCUGCUUUAGCUGAGUUGAUUACGGAAGAGACCCGGUUAGACUCGCAGGUGCCUGCAUCCUUAGGCAGUAU